rnacentral:rRNA from 1 species
UACGUAGGGGGCAAGCGUUGUCCGGAUUUAUUGGGCGUAAAGAGCGUGUAGGCGGUUCGGUAGGUCCGUUGUGAAAACUCGAGGCUCAACCUCGAGACGCCGAUGGAAACCCUCGAACUAGAGUCCGGAAGAGGAGAGUGGAAUUCCCGGUGUAGCGGUGAAAUGCGCAGAUAUCGGGAAGAACACCCGUGGCUAAGGCGGCUCUCUAGUACGGUACUGACGCUGAGACGCGAAAGCGUGGGGAGCGAAC